rnacentral:misc_RNA from 1 species
UCAGGAUGAUGAUGGGAAGGCAAUGUUAGAUGACGAAAGUGGUUGGGAAGGUCUCUCCAUGUCGAGGCGACCUUAUUUAUAGCGGUAGGGAUAUGAAACGGCAUCAAGAAACUCAAAACUUGUCGGCUUCCUCCGCGGGUUAAAAUUGAAUCCGAUGGGUUCUCUGCUCGUCGUUAAUCAUUGGGCUUACUACAGGCAUUUACAUGCUCGCCAGAGGGAGCUGGAGCAAUUAAGGCUUGGUCUUACUGAUUCUGUGGCCGGAGCUUUGUCGGCAAAUGCAAACAAGGGGUGGCGCCUGUUUGCAAGAGAGGAGCGGGUGGGG